AUUGAACGCUGGCGGCAGGCUUAACACAUGCAAGUCGAGCGGGGUGAUGGUGCUUGCACUAUCACUUAGCGGCGGACGGGUGAGUAAUGCUUAGGAAUCUGCCUAUUAGUGGGGGACAACAUCUCGAAAGGGAUGCUAAUACCGCAUACGUCCUACGGGAGAAAGCAGGGGAUCACUUGUGACCUUGCGCUACUAGAUGAGCCUAAGUCGGAUUAGCUAGUUGGUGGGGUAACGGCCUACCAAGGCGACGAUUUGUAGCGGGUCGGAGAGGAUGGUCCGCCAGACUGGGACUGAGAAACGGCCCAGACGCCUACGGGAGGCAGCAGUGGGGAAUAUUGGACAAUGGGGGGAACCCUGAUCCAGCCAUGCCGCGUGUGUGAAGAAGGCCUUAUGGUUGUAAAGCACUUUAAGCGAGGAGGAGGCUCUUUUGGUUAAUACCCAAGAUGAGUGGACGUUACUCGCAGAAUAAGCACCGGCUAACUCUGUGCCAGCCGCCGCCGUAA
rnacentral:rRNA from 1 species